rnacentral:rRNA from 1 species
UACGGAGGGUGCGAGCGUUGUCCGGAAUCACUGGGCGUAAAGGGCGCGUAGGCGGCGCGGGUAGUCAUCGGUGAAAGUUCAGGGCUCAACUCUGAAUCGGCCGGUGAUACUCUCGUGCUUGAGCACUGUAGAGGCAGGUGGAAUUCCGGGUGUAGCGGUGGAAUGCGUAGAGAUCCGGAAGAACACCGGUGGCGAAGGCGGCCUGCUGGGCAGUUGCUGACACUGAGGCGCGACAGCGUGGGGAGCAAACAGG